CAAUAGCGUAUAUUAAAGUUGUUGCGGUUAAAAAGCUCGUAGUUGGAUUUCUGCUGAGAACGACCGGUCCGCCCUUUGGGUGUGUAUCUGGCUCUUUCUUGGCAUCUUCUUGGUGAACGUUGCUGCACUUGACUGUGUGGAGCGCUACCCAGGACUUUUACUUUGAGGAAAUUAGAGUGUUUCAAGCAGGCAUACGCCUUGAAUACAUUAGCAUGGAAUAAUAAGAUAGGACCUCGGUUCUAUUUUGUUGGUUUCUAGAGCUGAGGUAAUGAUUAAUAGGGAUAGUUGGGGGCAUUCGUAUUUAACUGUCAGAGGUGAAAUUCUUGGAUUUGUUAAAGACGAACUACUGCGAAAGCAUUUGCCAAGGAUGUUUUCAUUGA
rnacentral:rRNA from 1 species